AGCUGCACGGCUUGCACAGAGCGAAUCAUUCAUUCGCCUUUUACUAAAGAAUACUGUGUGCACACCGCUUCUCAGCAGCAUAUGCCACUUUUUGGAAGGCUCAGCCUUUACAGGCU